rnacentral:rRNA from 1 species
GUAGUCCAUGCCCUAAACGAUGAAUACUAGUUGUCAGGAUACCUAAUUGUCUUGGUGACGUAGCUAACGCAUUAAGUAUUCCGCCUGGGAAGUACGGUCGCAAGAUUAAAACUCAAAGGAAUUGACGGGGGCCCGCACAAGCGGUGGAGCAUGUGGUUUAAUUCGAUGCUACGCGAAAAACCUUACCUAGGCUUGACAUCCCACGCUACCCGGGGAAACUCGGGGUUCUCUUCGGAGACGUGGAGACAGGUGCUGCAUGGCUGUCGUCAGCUCGUGUUGUGAGAUGUUGGGUUAAGUCCCGCAACGAGCGCAACCCUCGCCACUAGUUACCAGCAUUAAGUUGGGCACUCUAGUGGGACCGCUGAGCUAUAAGCCAGA